rnacentral:rRNA from 1 species
GACGAACGCUGGCGGCGUGCUUAACACAUGCAAGUCGAACGAAGAGCGAUGGAAGCUUGCUUCUAUCAAUCUUAGUGGCGAACGGGUGAGUAACGCGUAAUCAACCUGCCCUUCAGAGGGGGACAACAGUUGGAAACGACUGCUAAUACCGCAUACGAUCUAAUCUCGGCAUCGAGGAUAGAUGAAAGGUGGCCUCUACAUGUAUGCUAUCACUGAAGGAGGGGAUUGCGUCUGAUUAGCUAGUUGGAGGGGUAACGGCCCACCAAGGCGAUGAUCAGUAGCCGGUCUGAGAGGAUGAACGGCCACAUUGGGACUGAGACACGGCCCAGACUCCUACGGGAGGCAGCAGUGGGGAAUCUUCCGCAAUGGACGAAAGUCUGACGGAGCAACGCCGCGUGAGUGAUGACGGCCUUCGGGUUGUAAAGCUCUGUUAAUCGGGACGAAAGGCCUUCUUGCGAAUAGUGAGAAGGAUUGACGGUACCGGAAUAGAAAGCCACGGCUAACUACGUG